rnacentral:rRNA from 1 species
CCUACGGGAGGCAGCAGUGGGGAAUAUUGCACAAUGGGGGAAACCCUGAUGCAGCGACGCCGCGUGAGUGAAGAAGUAAUUCGUUAUGUAAAGCUCUAUCAGCAGGGAAGAAAAUGACGGUACCUGAGUAAGAAGCCCCGGCUAACUACGUGCCAGCAGCCGCGGUAAUACGUAGGGGGCAAGCGUUAUCCGGAUUUACGGGGUGGAAAGGGAGCGUGGACGGCAGUGCAAGUCUGGAGUGAAAGGCGGGGGCUCAACCCCCGGACUGCUCUGGAAACUGUACGGCUGGAGUGCAGGAGAGGUAAGUGGAAUUCCUAGUGUAGCGGUGAAAUGCGUAGAUAUUAGGAGGAACACCAGUGGCGAAGGCGGCUUACUGGACUGUAACUGACGUUGAGGCUCGAAAGCGUGGGGAGCAAACAGGAUUAGAUACCCUUGUAGUC